UGCCUCUCACCAGUUCUGUGAAUGGUCACC
rnacentral:piRNA from 1 species